rnacentral:rRNA from 1 species
AACGAACGCUGGCGGCAUGCCUAACACAUGCCAGUCGAACGAGACCUUCGGGUCUAGUGGCGCACGGGUGCGUAACGCGUGGGAACCUGCCCUUAGGUUCGGAAUAACUCCCCGAAAGGGGUGCUAAUACCGGAUAAUGUCUUCGGACCAAAGAUUUAUCGCCUUUGGAUGGGCCCGCGUUGGAUUAGCUAGUUGGUAGGGUAAAAGCCUACCAAGGCGACGAUCCAUAGCUGGUCUGAGAGGAUGAUCAGCCACACUGGGACUGAGACACGGCCCAGACUCCUACGGGAGGCAGCAGUGGGGAAUAUUGGACAAUGGGCGAAAGCUUGAUCCAGCAAUGCCGCGUGAGUGAUGAAGGCCUUAGGGUUGUAAAGCUCUUUUACCCGGGAUGAUAAUGACAGUACCGGGAGAAUAAGCUCCGGCUAACUCCGUG